AUUGAACGCUGGCGGCGUGCCUAACACAUGCAAGUCGAGCGGUAACAGGUGUAGCAAUACAUGCUGACGAGCGGCGGACGGGUGAGUAACGCUUGGGAAUCUGCCUAUUAGUGGGGGACAACCCGGGGAAACUCGGGCUAAUACCGCAUACGCACUACGGUGGAAAGCCGGGGACCGCAAGGCCUGGCGCUAACAGAUGAGCCCAAGUCGGAUUAGCUAGUUGGUAGGGUAACGGCCACCAAGGCGACGAUCCGUAACUGGUCUGAGAGGACGACCAGUCACACCGGAACUGAGACACGGUCCGGACUCCUACGGGAGGCAGCAGUGGGGAAUAUUGGACAAUGGCGAAAGCCUGAUCCAGCGACGCCGCGUGGGUGAAGAAGGCCUGCGGGUUGUAAAGCCCUUUCAGUGGGGAAGAAAAGCCUCGAGCUAACACCUCGGGGUCUUGACGUAACCCAUAGAAGAAGCACCGGCUAACUCUGUGCC
rnacentral:rRNA from 1 species